CCUACGGGUGGCAGCAGUGGGGAAUAUUGCUCAAUGGGGGAAACCCUGAAGCAGCAACGCCGCGUGAAUGAUGAAGUCUUUCGGAUUGUAAAGCUCUUUUUUUAGAGAAGUAAAUGACGGUACCUGAGCAAUAUGCCACGUCUAACUUCGGUCCAGCAGCAGCGGUAAUACGGAGGGGGCAAGCGUUAUUCGGAUUCACUGGGCGUAAAGGGAGCGUAUACGGUUGAACAAGUCAGUUGUGAAAUGCUGAGGCUUAUCCGUAGAAUUGCAAUUGAAACUGGCAAACUAGAGUACAGUCGAGGUAGGCGGAAUUCGUGGUGUAGCGGUGAAAUGCGUAGAUAUCACGAGGAACACCGAUUGCGAAGGCAGCUUACUAGACCGUGACUGACGUUGAUGCGCGAAAGCGUGGGGAGCAAACAGGAUUAGAUACCCCAGUAGUC
rnacentral:rRNA from 1 species